CAUACCUGUGAAACCACAUGCCUCUGCAAGAAGAAAUGUGCUCCAGGACAUCAGGAAGAAUAAUGCAGUCUCCAGAAGCUGGAAAUCUCGCAGUUUUGUGAAUUUGGAUAUCAGGGCUGUCACAACUCCAGUGGCAGCUCCAAGAGCAAAAGAUCCACUAAAUAUUCCUAAAAAAAUUCCAAAUGACUUAAACAUUGCUGUGACGUCAAAAGUAUGGCUGUUAUCUCCAGCUGGCUGAUACGCAACAAUUGACCUGUAAACCAGAAGACUUGUCAGAAUAUCAAAAAUCCACCAUUCAGUACUGACAGAAACCAUUCACUAAUUUCUCAAAAUCUUUAAAACACAUAUUGGUCACACUGGUGAGAAAUAUAAAAUAUUACAUUCUUAGCAUUCACUCUUCACUUCAUUCCCUUACAUAUUGGAUUGCCUGUAAUUUUUCCACAAAACUGUGUAAAACAUACACUGGGUAUGAUCUGUCCUGUUUAAAAAAAAAAAAAAUUGGACUUGACAUACCUGAAGCAACAUUUUUCUACUUCUUUAAUAUACCUGCAUGUCUGUAUACAUUUUGCAUAGGCUCAAACAA